UAGGGAAUCUUCCACAAUGGACGCAAGUCUGAUGGAGCAACGCCGCGUGAGUGAAGAAGGUUUUCGGACCGUAAAGCUCUGUUGUUGGUGAAGAAGGAUAGAGGUAGUAACUGGCCUUUAUUUGACGGUAAUCAACCAGAAAGUCACGGCUAACUACGUGCCAGCAGCCGCGGUAAAUACGUAGGUGGCAAGCGUUGUCCGGAUUUAUUGGGCGUAAAGCGAGCGCAGGCGGAAGAAUAAGUCUGAUGUGAAAGCCCUCGGCUUAACCGAGGAAUUGCAUCGGAAAC
rnacentral:rRNA from 1 species